rnacentral:rRNA from 1 species
GACGAACGCUGGCGGCGUGCUUAACACAUGCAAGUCGAACGAAGAGCGAUGGAAGCUUGCUUCUAUCAAUCUUAGUGGCGAACGGGUGAGUAACGCGUAAUCAACCUGCCCUUCAGAGGGGGACAACAGUUGGAAACGACUGCUAAUACCGCAUACGAUCUAAUCUCGGCAUCGAGGAUAGAUGAAAGGUGGCCUCUACAUGUAAGCUAUCACUGAAGGAGGGGAUUGCGUCUGAUUAGCUAGUUGGUGGGGUAACGGCCCACCAAGGCGAUGAUCAGUAGCCGGUCUGAGAGGAUGAACGGCCACAUUGGGACUGAGACACGGCCCAGACUCCUACGGGAGGCAGCAGUGGGGAAUCUUCCGCAAUGGACGAAAGUCUGACGGAGCAACGCCGCGUGAGUGAUGACGGCCUUUCGGGGUUGUAAAAGCUCUGUUAAAUCGGG